CCGGCCGGCGGAGUUUGGGGGGCCCGCCCGUAGCCCGUGCCGGCUGUGCUGCAGGGCCCCGCUCCCUCGCUGCCCCUUCCACUCCCCACCCGCGGGAUCGCGGAGAGAAUCGGAAGGGUGAAGGAGAAGGCAUCAGUCUUUUAACCUUAUAUGCUGAUUUGAAAAUUCAUUGAAUAUCUUCAAGAGGAAGAAAACAUUUUUGUUCAAUACCUUCAUUUUCUGGAAAUUAAGGAAGGGUGGAGGUGUGCUAGAGGUCCUUAAAAAGCGAUGUCUGGCUGCAGCUGAGGAAGACAACAUGGAGAAAGGUUUCUAUGCCAGCAGAGCUCCUUCCUCUGGUCAUCAGGUAUCAGCUUCCCGUGCCAUCACCUUCUUCAGUAUUUCACUGAAGCCCAGAGGGAAAGCACAUCCUUCCCAGUCCCGAGCGUGCCACCCACAUCACCACCUCAGCAGUGUUAGAAGUGAGCAAAGCCCUUAACUAAGAAAAUUGUGACUAAGAUGGCAUUUGGAUCAAGGCUGCAAGGCUUGAUCAAGAUUACUUUUACCCUUCCCCCACAUCUUCACAUUGUUUUCCCAUAGUAUAUUAAAAGUAGAGUGCGUAUGUGUUAAAAAUCAUAAACAUGCAACAGUCUGGAUUACUUAAAAUAAUCACUUAUAACAGCAAUGCAGGUUAACUCUUCAGCAUUGCCACAAGGGAGAGGAUAAAAUCAGGCUGUGUUGGCUGUACAGAAGUUUCUGUUUCAUCUCGAGGCUAUUUCAGGGUGUGGGCUGCCCUCUCACCGAGUGCUACUUCUGGGUCUGUGAAGGGAAAACCUUCACAGGUUUUUUUGGAAGGCUGCCUUCUUUAAACACUCUGAAAUAUGCUGAUACAGCCAUCAAAGCUGGCAUGUUUCAGAACUUUACUGAGGCUGGUGGCUAUGUGAUCCAGAUGGAGGCUCGACAGAACUGGGGGUCCUAACCUGACCCCUCCUUUUACUCCAACACUUCCUAAAGACAGAAAUUUCAAUGUGUAUGUUGCUUGUUCAUUUUUGUGUACCCAGCUAUUGCUCUCCAGAGCUUCAGCAUGUAUUCCCAACAGCAUUGUAGUCAGAAAAAUAAAUAAAAAUCCAUAACUGAAAAAUAAAGAGUGAAAAUGAAAGAUGUUGAAAAUAGGAAUUCAGUUGAACUAACAGUGCACACACACAGUUAGUUGAUCAGAGUUAUCUCUGUGGACAAAGUAAUGGCACCUGUGUACCAGUUUCUCUUUAUUAAAGUUAACUUACAUGCAGCAAGAAGUCACAUGGCUGCUGUUGAAUUCAGUCCCAAUGGUUAUAAAUUUGAAAGACUACCCUUGACCAAAGUGAGAGGAAACACAAAGGAGCAGUGUAAACUCUUACCUUAAAUUGCCUACAACACAGCUAGGUCAGAAAUGUUUGGCUAACCAUGGAAGUACCACCAAACACUCAGACAGCCACUGUCCUUCAGCAGGAGGCU